GUCUGUGGCCAUACCACCCUGAAUGCACUCAAUCUCAUCUGAUCUCAGAAACUAAGCAAGAUUGGGUCUGGUUAGUACUUGGAGGGAGACUGCCUGGAAAUACUGGGUGCUAUAGGCU
rnacentral:rRNA from 1 species